rnacentral:misc_RNA from 1 species
GAUGAAGAACGCAGCGAAAUGCGAUAAGUAAUGUGAAUUGCAGAAUUCCGUGAAUCAUCGAAUCUUUGAACGCACAUUGCGCCCCCUGGUAUUCCGGGGGGCAUGCCUGUUCGAGCGUCAUUUCACCACUCAAGCCUCGCUUGGUAUUGGGCAACGCGGUCCGCCGCGUGCCUCAAAUCGUCCGGCUGGGUCUUCUGUCCCCUAAGCGUUGUGGAAACUAUUCGCUAAAGGGUGUUCGGGAGGCUACGCCGUAAAACAACCCCAUUUCUAAGGUUGACCUCGGAUCAGGUAGGGAUACCUGCUGAACUUAAGCAUAUCAAUAAGCGGAGGA